rnacentral:rRNA from 1 species
CGGCGAGUGAAGCGGCAACAGCUCAAAUUUGAAAUCUGGCCCUUGGGUCCGAAUUGUAAUUUGUAGAGGAUGCUUUUGGUGCGGUGCCUUCCGAGUUCCCUGGAACGGGACGCCAUAGAGGGUGAGAGCCCCGUCUGGUUGGACGCCAAUCCUCUGUAAAGCUCCUUCGACGAGUCGAGUAGUUUGGGAAUGCUGCUCUAAAUGGGAGGUAUAUGUCUUCUAAAGCUAAAUACCGGCCAGAGACCGAUAGCGCACAAGUAGAGUGAUCGAAAGAUGAAAAGCACUUUGAAAAGAGGGUUAAAUAGUACGUGAAAUUGUUGAAAGGGAAGCGCUUGUGACCAGACUUGAGCCCGGUUAAUCAUCCAGCCUUCUGGCUGGUGCACUUGGCCGGCUCAGGCCAGCAUCAGUUCGGCGCGGGGGAUAAAGACUUCGGGAAUGUGGCUCCCCCGGGAGUGUUAUAGCCCGUUGUGCAAUACCCUGUGCUGGACUGAGGUUCGCGCAUCUGCAAGGAUGCUGGCGUAAUGGUCAUCAGCGACCCGUCUUGAAACACGGACCAAGGAGUCGUCUUCGUAUGCGAGUGUUCGGGUGUCAAACCCCUACGCGUAAUGAAAGUGAACGCAGGUGAGAGCUUCGGCGCAUCAUCGACCGAUCCUGAUGUUCUCGGAUGGAUUUGAGUAAGAGCAUACGGAGCCGGACCCGAAAGAAGGUGAACUAUGCCUGUAUAGGGUGAAGCCAGAGGAAACUCUGGUGGAGGCUCGCAGCGG